CCGACCAUAGCUCAGUUGGAAGAGCACAAGACUGUAAUUGGUUAACUUAUCUUGGGGUCGCCUGUUCGAACCAGGCUGGUCGGA
rnacentral:tRNA from 1 species